rnacentral:tRNA from 1 species
GCUGGUGUGGCUCAAUGGCAGAGCAGCUGACUUGUAAUCAGCAGGUUGUAGGUUCGACUCCUAUUACCAGCUCCA